CCUACGGGUGGCAGCAGUGAGGAAUAUUGGUCAAUGGACGAGAGUCUGAACCAGCCAAGUAGCGUGAAGGAUGACUGCCCUAUGGGUUGUAAACUUCUUUUAUAUGGGAAUAAAACGUUCCACGUGUGGGAUUUUGUAUGUACCAUAUGAAUAAGGAUCGGCUAACUCCGUGCCAGCAGCCGCGGUAAUACGGAGGAUCCGAGCGUUAUCCGGAUUUAUUGGGUUUAAAGGGAGCGUAGGUGGAUUGUUAAGUCAGUUGUGAAAGUUUGCGGCGCAACCGGAAAAUUGCAGUUGAAACUGGCAGUCUUGAGUACAGUAGAGGUGGGCGGAAUUCGUGGUGUAGCGGUGAAAUGCUUAGAUAUCACGAAGAACUCCGAUUGCGAAGGCAGUUCACUGGACUGCAACUGACACUGAGGCUCGAAAGUGUGGGUAUCAAACAGGAUUAGAUACCCCUGUAGUC
rnacentral:rRNA from 1 species